UACGUAGGGUGCAAGCGUUAAUCGGAAUUACUGGGCGUAAAGCGUGCGCAGGCGGUUAUGCAAGACAGAGGUGAAAUCCCCGGGCUCAACCUGGGAACUGCAUUUGUGACUGCAUCGCUGGAGUGCGGCAGAGGGGGAUGGAAUUCCGCGUGUAGCAGUGAAAUGCGUAGAUAUGCGGAGGAACACCGAUGGCGAAGGCAAUCCCCUGGGCCUGCACUGACGCUCAUGCACGAAAGCGUGGGGAGCAAACAGG
rnacentral:rRNA from 1 species